rnacentral:rRNA from 1 species
UACGUAGGGACCAAGCGUUGUUCGGAUUUACUGGGCGUAAAGGGCGCGUAGGCGGCGUGACAAGUCACUUGUGAAAUCUCUGGGCUUAACCCAGAACGGCCAAGUGAAACUGUUGUGCUAGAGUGCAGAAGGGGCAAUCGGAAUUCUCGGUGUAGCGGUGAAAUGCGUAGAUAUCGAGAGGAACACCAGAGGUGAAGACGGGGUUGCUGGGCUGACACUGACGCUGAGGCGCGAAAGCCAGGGGAGUAAACGGG